rnacentral:rRNA from 1 species
UACAGAGGUGGCAAGCGUUGUUCGGAUUUACUGGGCGUAAAGGGUGCGUAGGCGGUCGCGUGUGUCGGAUGUGAAAUCCCACGGAUUAUCUGUGGAACUGCAUUCGAAACUGCGCGGCUUGAGUGCAGGAGAGGAGAGCGGAAUUCUUGGUGUAGCGGUGAAAUGCGUUGAUAUCAAGAGGAACGCCGGUGACGAAGGUGGCUCUCUGGACUGCUACUGACGCUGAGGCACGAAAGCUAGGGGAGCAAACAGG